AGAAUGGAAGGGCAAGAGGCUCAAAUAUGCGGCCAAAGAAUCCGCCCGCGCCCGGCGGGCCUGGCGCGUCCCGCGGAAAAAGACCUGGAGGCUCCGCGGGAGCGCCCAGCUGGCGGCCAACCUCCGCACUGGGGUCUGCGGACGCCAGGCGGCCCGGCCCCACGCAGCACCCCCCACCCCGCCCCCCCGCCGACUCCUGCUAGUGAGCCCUGGACCAAGCUUGGGAUCCUCCCCAUCCCUCUCCUGUCCGCCUGCCCAGACCCUGGAAGGGUCUCUGUCCCCCGCAACAGCCUGCCCCGCGGUGGCCUUGUGGGCAGGACUCAGCUAUGAGCAGAUCGACUCUGCCCAAGUCUUCUCUCACCCAGGUCCAGUGGGCGACAGGCCGGACUUAGACUCGGAUCCAGACGGGGAAGGCGCAGCAUCUCUUGCAGCUGCAGAGAGAUUGCCACCGCAAACUGGAGCCAUGUGGUUCGAAUAAAGUCAACGUCUCCCAGCUUCCUUUCCUUAAUCGGAGGCACACUGUUUAUCCGCCCUAAAGGAAGCAGUGAAAUAUUUAUCUAUUAAUGAGACUCAUUUGCCAACAGAUUUAUUAACGUGGGGUUCCCCUCCCUCCUCCCGGACGCUGUAGUGCUGCAGGCUCUGUGCCUUCGCUCCUGGGCACCUGGCUGGCUCCAGCAGUCCGAUAAAUUGCUAAAGAUUCCUUUGUCCUUUCCACAACUUCUGGUUCCCCUCUGGCGCAUGGGGAGCCAGGGCUGUUUCCCCCAGCUUGGAAAAAUCUCGGGCCUGCACCCUUCCAGGCACUCCCAAUACUGGAAGGUUUCUGGGGUAGGCCGGGGUGCCUGGGAACAAUACAUGCUUUAGAGCGGAUUUGGAGAGGGGGCUCUGGCGUCUAGGGACUGCAACCCACUGUGGACUUCCUUUUCUUUUGAAGACACCGAAAACAAAUAGGGGAAACCACCCCCUAAAGGCCACCCAGCUGUGGAGGCUUCACCUAUCCAAGUACCAGCUCACAUGGAGCUGAGCGCACAGUGGUCUCACUUCCUCCCAUCCAGGCCUCCAAUUCCUACCUUCCAGGCCUCCGACCCCUGCACCAUGUUGCACCAGCUGAAGCCCCUGCCGCCCACCGCUCGGUGGAGGAUGGUGGGGAGAACCCUUCCCCUAAACGCCUCAUAAACUGCCCGGCUGCGCUGGAAGCCCGGCCACCUUUUACUGCUCAGCUCGAUUACACACCAUAAACCCGACCUCACAAUGGAAUUGCCCCGGAAAUUCUCCUGUAAAUUGUAGAGUUUAGUUCCUUGUGUACUGAGCACUUCCCAUCACUUUCAGAGGGUCCAGGCCGUCCCCGUUUACCGCACCCUCUCAGGGGGCCCCAGGAAUACAAAAGGUGGAGGGAGGGUUCAGAUCGGGACGCCACGGAGCCCCAGUUCCUGCGCAGUGAACCACCGGGGCUUGGGUAGGAAGGCGGGGGCUGGUGGGGCAGGUGGGCGCUGGGCUGUCUCCUCCCGGGCCACGGAAGCCUGGGGGUAGGGGUGUGGAGUGAGGGACAACAUCCGGGGACGCCUUUAUGGCGGAUCAGAUGAUACCUUGUCUCCGAUGGAGAAUAGAGGGAGUAAGACAAAAAGAAAAGACCUAAAUAAUCCCAGUCGCAUCGCCUUCUGGAAGGAAAUAAAAACCCAAGAAAGUUAAAGGAAGAUGAAGCAAACAAGAAGGCUAGGAGAUCAAAGAGGCAGAAUUAGACCGUUUUAGACCAAUAAAUUUUUCCUGGGGUGACACACAGCAAGACGCAAAGAGAAAAGACCAAGGCCCCCGCCGCCGCCGUCUGUCUAGACUCAAGCGACUGAAGGGGCCAACAGAGCUGGUGUUUAAAGUAGAACCUGCCCAGUCCAACAGCCCGAGCAGGGAGCGAUUUCGGGGAUCGCGGGAAGGAACGCACUUCGCCAAGGGAGGGCCGGGUGCCCUCGCCACCGGCUCAUUCCUGCUCCGGUUUUGCCCGAUGCGCGUCCAGGAGGUUCUGGCAGGACGCACUGCCCCUCUGCCCCGGCCAAGGAGGAUGCGGAUACUGCCCGCAAGGCUUCGGCCUUUAUGGACCCAAGUCAGCCAACUGGGCCGAGUCCUGCGGACACCGAAACCUCCCUUUCGUUUCCAGGCUUCCUUCUCCCCUCUUGCCCUCUGUGGUCUGAUUUAAAACGAAAAGGUCGGAUAAAAUCAGGCUUUCAAUAAGGCUUCUUUAACUGUGUGUUCUCUAUUCAUUGGUUCUCUACUUAUUUGACUGAAAAGACACAAAUGCACUAGGUUAUGUGAGAUAAUUUUCACAGAAAUACUCAUUGACCCUCAGCCUGAAGCAGGCACAUGUAGGCGGGUUUCUAAUCAGUAGAGCUAUGUUUAGAUAGACAUUUUCCACUGCCGUCCCUGAGCUUCCUUCCUACCUACUGGCAGAGCGUGUUCACUCUGCUUCUUGUUACCAAAUACCAAUAUUUAAAUUCAAUUAUGAAGGUAAAGCCAGCUCUAGGCAGGGAACAGCGCCUUCCAGAGAUUUGGGUGGCAGGCAAAUUGCUUCCUAAAGGUUUCCACCCUUGCCUCUCUCACCAGCUGCAUCUGUUCC
rnacentral:lncRNA from 1 species